rnacentral:lncRNA from 1 species
GCAGGCAGUGAGGGUCUUACUAUCAAACCCUUACUGGGCUCUUUCUUGCCAAUGCAGUCAGCUCAACACACUCAACAAAGUAGUUGUUGGCCAACCACCCCCACCCCCUGCCCACGUUUCUGGCUGAACUCUGGCAGCCCCAUGACUUGCAGGAGCACAGGCAGGUUGGGGGUAACCCUGCCUUCUCUGGGGGGUACUCACUCAGCUGUGAACUCGUUGGUUCCCACAGGGAUGCAGUACACGAACUGCAUGGCGCUCCACAGCCGGUGGAACUCCACACACUCAUCGACGUGCAUGACGCCAUUGGUGGGCGGUGGGCCCCGCCAGAUGGGGUCCUGCAGGUAGCUCCGAAUGCGGGUCAGGAUGACCUCGAACAUGGACAGGCCACAGCACAGCCGCUCCUUGGUCAGGAGGUCACCCUCGCGAGCAAUGGCGAUUUGGGCAGGGGUCCUGUCUUACUCAUCUUGAUGUUCAUCGUGACUCGUACUGGUUUUUAACAAUUACAGAAUAACAUAUAAGCUCAUUCACCCUUGUUAGAACACUACAGAAAAGGCUGAAGUCUUCUUUCUCUCCCACUCUAUUCUAUCUCAUCUCUCUUCAGAGGUUGCCACCAUGAUAAACUAGGUAGACAUCAUUCCAGACAUUUUCAGAAGAGUUUUAUAUGGUUUUGUUGUGUGCAUUUAAAAAAAGCCAUCAUCCUGCAUGAACUGUAGUGCAGCUUGCUUCAUCCAAUUGACUGUGCCUAUGAUCUAUCCACACUGAUGCAACAAGAUCUAAUUUUGCCUUUUCAUUAUGUAUUAAGUACAUACGUGAUAUGCAAUAACCUGGCAUUUUAUUUAAUCAAUGCUUUACUAUUAGAUGUUUGGGUUGUUUCUAGUUUUUGCUUUAACAAACAAUGUUACAUAAGCAUCUAGUGUUCCGUUAAGUGUUUCUUUAGCAAAAGUAUCCAGAAGUGAACUGCUGGCUCACAGAGUAUGUGGAGUUUUAAUUUUCAGAGGCAAAGUAACAGAUUCUUGAUAUCUACCAGGGACACAGUAGAUACUUGUUUAAAUAAGCAGACGACUUGUUGGCAGGAUACAUGAUACAGGCUACAGAAGAAACACUCAGGCCUGAGAGUCAGCAAAUCUCAUUCCAGACCUGCUGUUGCUAUUAAUAUUAACCAGUUUUUGGGUAUUGGACAUUGUCUUCCCUUCUCUGAGCCUCAGUUUCCUGACCUGUACAAUGAGGGGGUUUGGUCAAAUGCUCUCAAGUUCCUGUCAGUGAUCAGAGCCCAUUUAUUAUAUAAGAUUGGUACCGCAGGAGGAAGCCAAGGUCAGAUUCAGGCAAGGUAAAUUUCUGAUGUGUGUGGACACGGAAGAGAAGAUGUCUAAAAGGCAACUAGAUGUGAGGCCUAGGCCCUGCAGAGUCUGCAGAGUAGAUCUGAGCUUGGAAGUCAGCAUGGGAUGGAGGCUGACCCCAGGGGAAAGGAACUGUGCAAGUGCAAGGUUUGCAUAAGUGGGUGCUUCUCAGGGUGACCAAGACCCUUCCGGAGACUUCAGUUCCUCUGACUAUAUGAGACCCAAGAGAAAAACAGCACAAAGUGCUCCUUGAGUUCAAGGGAAUACAUAAAUUCUGAACAUUUCCAUGUCUACUAGCAUACAACCUAAACAGGGAUAAAAAGACACCUUUCAAGUCAGAAAUAGGGAAGAUGCCACUUCUCUGCAUUUGCUGCUACCUCUUUAUUCCUUUCUUUAGGUCACCAAAUAUCUAUUGAGUGCUUGCUCUGUGAUCUGGCAGACAACUCAAAGGCACAGAGAUGAAGAUGAAACACACCAUGGAGCCAGGGAAGGGCCUGGAUGCUGUGGGAAACACUACAACAGGUAGAGCUCUGUAAAAAUGAGAUUUCAAUGAAGUUUACCAUCUAGUGGAGAAGAGAUCCAAGGACACCCGUGACUGAGAAAUAAAACAGAAUCAAUUGGGUGCAAUAGGAGAAGUUGCUGACAAAGGGCUUUGGAGACUGAGAAGAGAGAGAAACACCACCAAGUUCCUUGCAGAGAAAGGCAUUUGAUAAAAUGUGUGUUGAAUAAAAGGACCAGCGGUUUGUGGAGGAUGAGGAAAUGAUGGCUGUGAGAUGGGCCUGAGAGGAGGGGCAGGGUUUUGAACUGGGAGGAAAGGUGCCAUCCCAUUCAGGAGGAGGAUGAAAUCAGGGAUAAAAUGAGGUGGCUGAUAUGAAAGGAGUGGGGCAUCCUUGGCUUGGGCUUGUGAGGAGUGUGGGCCACAGUGCUAUGGGCAGUCAGGAGCCAGGCUUUCAGUUCUAACGGGGCUUAGAGAAAAGGCCGAUUCAAGUCUCUUUGCUGAUGGCAAGAGGAGGAAAGGGGGCUCUUGGUAACCGAGGACCUGCUUCUUAAGCGCUGGAGACUUCGCAUUCAUUACCUCACUUAACACUAAGAACUCUGUGAGGUAGCUCCUCAGUCCCAGCACUUUUCAGGCGUGGAAACUAAGGCUUAGAGAAGGAGUGUAC